rnacentral:lncRNA from 1 species
CGUCUUGAUCGUUAACUCAUAUCUGAGAUGAUCUGAUGUGUUGAGGGUGAAGGUGUUGAGGGUGAAAAUGUCUUUGUGAAGGUGGAGGGGGUGAAGAUGUCUUUGUGAAGGUAGAGGGGGUGAAGAUGUCUUUGUGAAGGUGUUGAGGGUGAAGCUGUUGAGGGUGAAGUUGUCUUUGUGAAAGCUGUCUUUGUGAAGCUGUUGAGGGUGAAACUGUUGAGGGUGAAGAUGUCUUUGUGAAGGUGUUGAGGGUGAAGAUGUCUUUGGUGAAACUGUAUUUGUGAAGUUGUUGAGGGUGAAGAUGUCUUUGUGAAGCUGUCUUUGGUGAAGAUGUUUUUGUGAAGGUGCUCAUUACAGUAAGUCUGCAUUACAAAUAGCAGCCUAUUCCCUUCAUAGUAAGCCUCUGGUCUAAAGUAGUGCCCUAUAUAGGGAAUAGGGUGCCGUUUAAGGAUGCAGGUCCUGUGUUUCAGUCUCCUGGUCUGUUUGUCGGUAAUCAUUCCUCCUGAUCUGCCAUCGCUGCUCCCAAGGCACGCUGCUGUCCUGAAGUGUCCAUGUUGCUAUGGUGACAGGUUGCCAUGCUGACUGCUUUCUGAUUGGUUGGCUUAGAGAGAGGUGUCUGUCUGUGUAGAUGGAAUAUGUUUUUCCAGUUGUGCUCUCUCGUCUGCGUCUUACAGUGUCAAUGUAAUGUCUACCUUUGUUCAGGUUCAAAUCCUUUUGUCAUCCCGUCACUGGGCAGUUUGUUCACAGCACAACAAAUAGUAUUUGUGUAUUUUUUAAAGCAACAAAGUCCUAUAAUUCAACACUCCAUUGGAAUCCACGAUGCCAAUAUCAUUUUUCCUUCUGGGGGGUAAAUAAAGUGUACCAGUCUUUACAUUCUGGAAUUCCUAAAUCCCAAAGUCCCCUUUUUCCUCUGUGGAGUGUUGGUGGUGAUCCAGGAUGAGCUGCGGGGUCGAGCUCUGAGCCUGAGUAGCUCCUACGCUGAGAGGAGCAGGCAGGACCAGCCUUAGGCCCCAGGCAGCUUCUAUUUGAUGCUGGAAUCCCCUAGGUGAGGAUGCUGGGGUUGGCUGGGCGCGAGAUUUACUCUGAUCCUCGGGGGCUCCAGGAUUCUUUUCUCUCUUUUCCUGUGUCCCAAAAGGCAACCUCUAUUCCCUACAUAGUGCACUACUUUCCAUUGGUGGUGACUGUGAUUCAGUAUUCCAGGGGUACACAUGAACAAGCCUUGCUGUUGUUGUGGUCCUGAGGAAAAUGACCCUCUCUGGGACUUCCUGCCAGGGCUGAGGAGUUAACAACACAUGAGUUCUUCAGAUCUGGCUUGUCGUUGUAGAGGACUAAGGUCCCAGUUUAAGGCAGGUAGGAAAGCUUGGUCUGUGUUGGUACCUACACAGCAUUUUAACAGCAGGUUAUACUCGGAUGCAUGUUCCUGUGUGUGUGUGUGUGUGUGUGUGUGUGUGUGUGUGUGUGUGUGGAAGAUGUAUUGUAGAGAAAACAGAGAUAAAUCACCUGAUUUGACAGUCAGAAGAACAAUGACAUGAAACAUCAAUUAAACUACAGCAGGAUGGAGAGAGAAAGGAGAGCUGCUCUGCUCACACACGCACGCACGCACGCACGCACACACACACACACACACACACACACGCACAAGCACACGCACACGCGCACACGCACACACACACACACUCUUGUCUCUAUCAGAG